AAAUAGGGAAAAAAACUCUGCCCACGAGCUCCUCUCUUCGCAGUAGCAGUUUCUGUCCAAGCUUCCAUUGUUGGGCGGUAUGGCGUCGCAUCUGCAACUCACCUACUCCCAAAUCCGAUUUUGCUCAAUUGGAUUCGGACGACAGCAACAAGAUGUGCCAUUUUUCUAUUUGACGGUAUGGCUUUCUGGGCAUGGCUUACCUACUCGCUAAGGUUCCAUUAUUCUAUUCCUCUUCGGACGUUGUCAAGUUUCAAUUAUGGGCUUCCUUCGAUUGUGAGGGGUUCGGAAUUCUCUCAUCUCUGGGUGGAUUUUUUCUAAACAGCAAGAUAAUCCAGAGAGGCGAGCAGGGUCGGCUCAGAGGUAGAGGUGGUGUUGAGUCGGCGUAGUUUUUAGGGUGAGUUUUGGGUUGGUCUGUGGAGCACAUAGUAUGUUGGGACUUUUGGGAAAUGUUAUGUAUAUAUGUGUAUGGAUACAGUUAGGUAUAUAGUACUCUGCUAUUGUAUUUUUGGAAUAUGAUGGAUAUGUAUGUACUUCUGCUGCUUAGAUGUUAUAUGCAAUGCACAGGAUACCACGGUCCCACUUCGGGCCGUGAUGAUGUUUGCUAUGCUCAA